CCUGAGAGGGUGAUCGGCCACACUGGGACUGAGACACGGCCCAGACUCCUACGGGAGGCAGCAGUAGGGAAUCUUCCACAAUGGACGAAAGUCUGAUGGAGCAACGCCGCGUGAGUGAUGAAGGUUUUCGGAUCGUAAAACUCUGUUGUAAGGGAAGAACAGGUAUGAGAGGUAAUGCUCAUGCUAUGACGGUACCUUGCGAGAAAGCCACGGCUAACUACGUGCCAGCAGCCGCGGUAAUACGUAGGUGGCAAGCGUUGUCCGGAAUUAUUGGGCGUAAAGCGCGCGCAGGCGGCCUUUUAAGUCUGAUGUGAAAGCCCCCGGCUCAACCGGGGAGGGUCAUUGGAAACUGGAAGGCUUGAGUACAGAAGAGAAGAGUGGAAUUCCAUGUGUAGCGGUGAAAUGCGUAGAGAUGUGGAGGAACACCAGUGGCGAAGGCGACUCUUUGGUCUGUAACUGACGCUG
rnacentral:rRNA from 1 species